rnacentral:rRNA from 1 species
ACAUGCAAGUCGAACGAAGAGCGAUGGAAGCUUGCUUCUAUCAAUCUUAUUGGCGAACGGGUGAGUAACGCGUAAUCAACCUGCCCUUCAGAGGGGGACAACAGUUGGAAACGACUGCUAAUACCGCAUACGAUCUAAUCUCGGCAUCGAGGAUAGAUGAAAGGUGGCCUCUACAUGUAAGCUAUCACUGAAGGAGGGGAUUGCGUCUGAUUAGCUAGUUGGAGGGGUAACGGCCCACCAAGGCGAUGAUCAGUAGCCGGUCUGAGAGGAUGAACGGCCACAUUGGGACUGAGACACGGCCCAGACUCCUACGGGAGGCAGCAGUGGGGAAUCUUCCGCAAUGGACGAAAGUCUGACGGAGCAACGCCGCGUGAGUGAUGACGGCCUUCGGGUUGUAAAGCUCUGUUAAUCGGGACGAAAGGCCUUCUUGCGAAUAGUGAGAAGGAUUGACGGUACCGGAAUAGAAAGCCACGGCUAACUACGUGCCAGCAGCCGCGGUAAUACGUAGGUGGCAAGCGUUGUCCGGAAUUAUUGGGCGUAAAGCGCGCGCAGGCGGAUCAGUCAGUCUGUCUUAUAAGUUCGGGGCUUAACCCCGUGAUGGGAUGGAAACUGCUGAUCUAGAGUAUCGGAGAGGAAAGUGGAAUUCCUAGUGUAGCGGUGAAAUGCGUAGAUAUUAGGAAGAACACCAGUGGCGAAGGCGACUUUCUGGACGAACACUGACGCUGAGGCGCGAAAGCCAGGGGAGCGAACGGGAUUAGAUACCCCGGUAG